GAAGUAAAAGUCGUAACAAGGUUUCCGUAGGUGAACCUGCGGAAGGAUCAUUAAAGAAUCGGUGACCCUCGCGGUCCCAUUCUCACCCUUUGUAUACCAAACUUCGGUUGCUUUGGCUGGCCCUUGUGGCCGGUCAGAGGACUCAAACCCUUGAAUCUUUGCUGUCUGAGUACUAUAUAAAUAGUUAAAACUUUCAACAACGGAUCUCUUGGUUCUGGCAUCGAUGAAGAACGCAGCGAAAUGCGAUAAGUAAUGUGAAUUGCAGAAUUCAGUGAAUCAUCGAAUCUUUGAACGCACAUUGCGCCCUCUGGUAUUCCGGGGGGCAUGCCUGUUCGAGCGUCAUUACAACCCUCAAGCUCAGCUUGGUAUUGGGCUCGCCCGUCAUGGGCCUGCCUCAAAAUCAGUGGCGGCUCCGUCCAGUCUCAAGCGCAGUAAUACUCGUCGCUUGUUAGGCUUGGUCGGCGGUCUUGCUAACAACCCCCAAUUUUAAAAGGUUGACCUCGGAUCAGGUAGGGAUACCCGCUGAACUUAAGCAUAU
rnacentral:rRNA from 1 species